AUCGCUCCUUCCAUUGGGGCCCGAAAGCCACAGGGUUAGAACGCCAGAUGAGACUUUUGAGUCUUUGGUGACCAACCCCAGCUUAGGACGGAAGAAGGAGGAGAGAGAUAGCAGCUGACAUGAUUGGGAACGGAAAAGAAUCAUGAAGACAUAACAAAUCACUCCCAGGCCUUGUCUAAUUGGACUCCUUUUAUGAACCCUGAUGAUGUGAGGGAUCAGAGAAGAAAUGUAUCAUCUCUCCAUAAUUCAAUCUUUGGAGAUUUCAAUUUCAGCUGAAUGAUGAGGCCUGCAGUCAGAAUGAAGAAACAGAAAGAGAAUGAGAGGAAAACAAGAGUUUAGCCACAAAAUGAAGGAGAUACACAGGACAAUAACCAGUGGGAAUAGAUAGACCAAAUGAAAGUCUCUUAAGGAUGCAAGAGAUAUGGAUGUGUUUGUCGACAUCCCGGGAAGCAGACAGUAGAUGAAGACAUUGAAGAUUAGUUUCUCCUAAGGGGAAGAGCCACCUCUUUAUUAAAGCAUGAAGCAAUGUUUCUUAGCUGGAAGAGAUGGGGAGAGCCAUAUCUAAUUUGAAGAAAGGAGCCAUGGGAGGUUUGAGAAGGGCUGAAAAUUUUUGGAAAAGCUUCUAUGUAUACAUGGCAGGGAGGAAUACUUUAAAGAAGUGUAAAAGGAUUGCCUUGUCACAGUGAGGGC
rnacentral:lncRNA from 1 species